GACGAGCCCGCGGCCGAUUAGCUAGUUGGCAGGGUAAAGGCCUACCAAGGCGAGGAUCGGUAGCUGGUCUGAGAGGACGAUCAGCCACACUGGAACUGACAUACGGUCCAGACUCCUACGGGAGGCAGCAGGGAGGAAUAUUGCACAAUGGGGGAAACCCAGAUGCAGCAACGCCGUGUGAGCGAAGAAGGCCUUCGGGUCGUAAAGCUCUUUUCCGAGGGAUGAGGAAGGACAGUACCUCGGGAAUAAGGCUCGGCUAACUACGUGCCAGCAGCCGCGGUAACACGUAGGAGCCAGGCGUUAUCCGAAUUUACUGGGCGUAAAGCGCGUGUAGGCGGCCGAACAAGUUGGAUGUGAAAGCUCCUGGCUCAACUGGGAGAGGACGUUCAAUACUGUUAGGCUAGAGGACGGCAGAGGAAGGUGGAAUUCCCGGUGUAGUGGUGAAAUGCGUAGAUAUCGGGAGGAACACCAGAGGCGAAGGCGGCCUUCUGGGCCGUUACUGACGCUCAGACGCGAAAGCUAGGGGAGCAAACGGGAUUAGAAACCCCGGUAGUCCUAGCUGUAAACGAUGUAGACUUGGCGUAGGUGGUGUAAAAGCCAUCUGUGCCGAAGCUAACGCGAUAAGUCUACCGCCUGGGGACUACGGCCGCAAGGUUAAAACUCAAAUGAAUUGACGG
rnacentral:rRNA from 1 species